rnacentral:rRNA from 1 species
ACGGAAGGCAGCAGUGGGGAAUAUUGCACAAUGGGGGAAACCCUGAUGCAGCGACGCCGCGUGAGUGAUGAAGUAUUUCGGUAUGUAAAGCUCUAUCAGCAGGGAAGAUAAUGACGGUACCUGACUAAGAAGCACCGGCUAAAUACGUGCCAGCAGCCGCGGUAGUACGUAUGGUGCAAGCGUUAUCCGGAUUUACUGGGUGUAAAGGGAGCGUAGGCGGUACGGCAAGUCUGAAGUGAAAUCCCAGGGCUCAACCUUGGAACUGCUUUGGAAACUGUCGAACUAGAGUGUCGGAGAGGUAAGUGGAAUUUCUAGUGUAGCGGUGAAAUGCGUAGAUAUUAGGAGGAACACCAGUGGCGAAGGCGGCUUACUGGACGAUUACUGACGCUGAGGCUCGAAAGCGUGGGGAGCAAACAGGAUUAGAUACCCUGGUA